rnacentral:lncRNA from 1 species
ACUACAGUGCCUCUGACUUUUUCAUAGGACAGUUGGCCGAGGAAGACAAACAUAAAGAUGAAGUGCUUAAUUCAAGGUCACACAAUGUCGGGGAUGGACCUCCAGAUUUCCUUACUGACCUGCAUUAUCUUGUGGAUACCUGAGUGAAUUCCACACCACCCAUUUUAUAGAUGAAACCACUGAGACAUGGAGCAAUUGACUGAGUAGUCACUGCCCCACCCCUGCCUGGAGCCUCACACAUGACUCGCCUCCUCUCAGUGACCACAGGAAAACAAGCUCAGGGCUCCCACUGAUUGUACAUUAUGAGACGGAGUCUUGCUAUGUUGCCCAGGCUGGUCUUGAACUCCUCACCUCAAGCGAUCCUCCCGUCUUGGCCUCCCAAGUGUCAGGAUUACGGGCAUGUGCUAUCACACCCAACCUGAUACAUUGCCUUUAUAAAUUUUUUUUUCUUUAUUCUAAAAACCAGAAAAAACAAAACUGGAUACAUGUGCAGAACAUGCAGACCAAGUGUGUUGGGGACUUGAGAUGCGUACAUGAGUGUGAUGUUUCCUGCUGAAAGCACAGGUGAGACGUGGUCUUGUAACACAGUGGUUAAGAAUGUGACUUUGGAGCCAGCCUGCUAGGGGCUGAAUUCUGACUCAGCCAUUUACUAACUGUGUGACCUUAGGUCACAGAAUUUUCCACACUCCUUGACAGAGGUGCUUAACCCUUAUCCAUCAGCAUUCUCAGACAGCACCUCCGGUUAGGGACAGUAUCUGACCGUCCGACAUCCCUGCAGCCCCCA